GGUAGUGUAGUCUAAUUGGAAAAGACGGGCCUGGGAAUCAUAGGACUUGGGUUCUAAUCCCAGCUCUGCCC
rnacentral:tRNA from 1 species